rnacentral:rRNA from 1 species
AGAGUUUGAUCCUGGCUCAGGACGAACGCUGGCGGCGUGCCUAACACAUGCAAGUCGAGCGGAGACAUAGGAGAGCUUGCUCAAAUAUGUUUUAGCGGCGGACGGGUGAGUAACGCGUGAGCAAUCUGUCCCACACAGGGGGAUAACACUUGGAAACAGGUGCUAAUACCGCAUGAGACCACAACGUCACAUGGCGAAGGGGUCAAAGGAGCAAUCCGGUGUGGGGUGAGCUCGCGUCCGAUUAGCUAGUUGGUGAGGUAACGGCCCACCAAGGCGACGAUCGGUAGCCGACCUGAGAGGGUGAUCGGCCACAUUGGAACUGAGAGACGGUCCAAACUCCUACGGGAGGCAGCAGUGGGGAAUAUUGGUCAAUGGGCGAGAGCCUGAACCAGCCAAGUAGCGUGCAGGAUGACGGCCCUAUGGGUUGUAAACUGCUUUUAUACGGGGAUAAAGUGAGUCACGUGUGGCUUAUUGCAGGUACCGUAUGAAUAAGGACCGGCUAAUUCCGUGCCAGCAGCCGCGGUAAUACGGAAGGUCCGGGCGUUAUCCGGAUUUAUUGGGUUUAAAGGGAGCGUAGGCCGUCUGUUAAGCGUAUUGUGAAAUGUCGGGGCUCAACCUGGGCAUUGCAGCGCGAACUGGCAGACUUGAGUGCGCAGGAAGUAGGCGGAAUUCGUCGUGUAGCGGUGAAAUGCUUAGAUAUGACGAAGAACUCCGAUUGCGAAGGCAGCCUGCUGUAGUGCAACUGACGCUGAAGCUCGAAAGCGUGGGUAUCGAACAGGAUUAGAUACCCUGGUAGUCCACGCGGUAAACGAUGGAUGCUCGCUGUUUGCGUCUGACGUAAGCGGCCAAGCGAAAGCGUUAAGCAUCCCACCUGGGGAGUACGCCGGCAACGGUGAAACUCAAAGGAAUUGACGGGGGCCCGCACAAGCGGAGGAACAUGUGGUUUAAUUCGAAGCAACGCGAAGAACCUUACCAGGACUUGACAUCCCUCUGACAGCUCUUUAACAGGAGCUUUCUUCGGACAGAGGAGACAGGUGGUGCAUGGUUGUCGUCAGCUCGUGUCGUGAGAUGUUGGGUUAAGUCCCGCAACGAGCGCAACCCUUGUUGCUAGUUACUAACAUGUUAAGAUGAGGACUCUAGUGAGACUGCCGGGGAUAACUCGGAGGAAGGUGGGGAUGACGUCAAAUCAUCAUGCCCCUUAUGUUCUGGGCUACACACGUGCUACAAUGGCUGGUACAAAGAGAAGCGAGACCGUGAGGUGGAGCAAAACUCAAAAACCAGUCCCAGUUCGGACUGCAGGCUGAAACUCGCCUGCACGAAGUUGGAGUUGCUAGUAAUCGUGGAUCAGAAUGCCACGGUGAAUGCGUUCCCGGGUCUUGCACACACCGCCCGUCAAG